AUUGAACGCUGGCGGCAGGCCUAACACAUGCAAGUCGAACGGAAGAAGCGUGCUUGCUUCUGGUUUCAGAGGGGGACGGGUGAGCGAAGCCUGUGAAUAUCCUUGCCUGUGGUUUAGAACGACUUGAAGCAGGGGCUAAUACUACAUAAUUGCAGAGGGUGUAAGAGGGUGAGCUUCGGACCUUCCGCUCUCAGGUGAUUCUAGGUGGCGUUAGCUAGUUGGGGGGGUAAAGGCCUACCAAGGCGACCAUCCGUAGCUGGUCUGAGAGGAUGAUCGGCCACACUGGAACUGGAACACGGUCCAGACUCCUACGGGAGGCAGCAGUGGGGAAUAUUGGACAAUGGGCGAAAGCCUGGUCCAGCCAUACGGCGUGUGUGAAGAAGGCCUUCGGAUUGUAAAGCCCUUUUUGUGGGGAGGAAGAGCAGUAGGUUAAUACCUUGCUGUUUUGACGGUACCAACAGAAUAAGCACCGGCUAACUUCGUG
rnacentral:rRNA from 1 species